CUUCAGCAAAAAGUAGUUUUGUGAUCAUAUUACGAGUUACACCAGCAUACAAGAUCUGGUUGCGAUAAUACAUCCAGAAGUUGUGGGAAGACUGAGCUACAUCUUAUCAGAUACAGAUGUUGAGCAUUCUGACUACAUAACCAAGAAGCACCCUGUCACAGCUGCAUGCACUAGUAGAGCAAGACAAUGACAUCUUAUUGGAGAAUGAUCGAACUACUACAGGACUAGGAGAAAGACUGAAGAAUACGGAGAAUUAUGCUUUGUUUUUUCUAACUCUUCCAAUACCUCUGAACAGAAAUUUAUGAAGAACAGGAUCCGCUCCAUCAGCAGGGGCAGAAAAAGAAGGAAGAUGUCAGGUUAACACAAAGGGAUGUCACAACCAUGGACUAAAACUAAAUGCCAAAAAAGGCAUAGUAGUUUACCUUUGGGAAGUCAUUCAUUUCUGGUAACUAUCAUAUUGACAACACACCUCAUAGAGUUGACCCAGUAGUCACGG